GUCCACGCCGUAAACGAUGGGCACUAGGUGCUUGGGGAGGCGACCCCUCGAGUGCCGGCGCUAACGCAUGAAGUGCCCGCCCUGGGGAGGUACGGCCGCAAGGCUGAAACUACAAAGGAAAUUGACGGGGGCCCGGCACAAGCGGUGGAGCAUGUGGUUCAAUUCGACGCAACGCGAAGAACCUUACCUGGGUUUGACAUGCAGGAGAAAGCUCGCAGAAACGUGAGCCCCUCUUCGGAGUUCCUGCACAGAUGCUGCAUGGCUGUCGU
rnacentral:rRNA from 1 species